rnacentral:rRNA from 1 species
UACAGAGGUCUCGAGCGUUAGCCGGAAUCACUGGGCCUAAAGCGUGUGUAGGCGGCUCGUUAAGUACCUUGUGAAAUCCCACGGCUUAACCGUGGAACUGCUUGGUAUACUGGCGGGCUUGAGCCAGCUAGGGGCUACCGGAACAAAUGGUGGAGCGGUGAAAUGCGUAGAUAUCAUUUGGAACGCCAAUGGUGAAAACAGGUAGCUGGGGCUGUGCUGACGCUGAGACACGAAAGCCAGGGGAGCAAACGGG